rnacentral:rRNA from 1 species
AUACGGAGGGUCCGAGCGUUAAUCGGAAUUACUGGGCGUAAAGCGCGCGUAGGUGGUUCAGUCAGUCAGAUGUGAAAGCCCCGGGCUCAACCUGGGAACUGCACCUGAUACUGCUGAGCUAGAGUACGGUAGAGGGCAGUGGAAUUUCCGGUGUAGCGGUGAAAUGCGUAGAGAUCGGAAGGAACACCAGUGGCGAAGGCGCCGGCCUGGGCGGAUACUGAGACGGGGGUGCGAGAGGGUGGGUAACAAGCAGGACUAGAUACCCUGUUAGUCCCCUACGUAAACGAUGUCAGCUAGCCGUGGGGGGACUGGAUCCUUUAGUGGCGAAGCUAACGCGAUAAGUUUACCGCCUGGGGAGUACGGCCGCAAGGUUAAAACUCAAAGGAAUUGACGGGG